rnacentral:rRNA from 1 species
UACGGAGGGUGCAAGCGUUGCUCGGAAUUAUUGGGCGUAAAGGGUAGGUAGGUGGUCUCAUUUGUCUGGGGUGAAAGCCUUGAGCUUAACUCAAGAAGUGCCCCAGAGACGGUGAGACUGGAGUUCUGGAGAGGGUCGUGGAAUUCCCGGUGUAGCGGUGAAAUGCGUAGAUAUCGGGAAGAACACCCGUGGCGAAGGCGGCUCUCUGGGCUGACACUGACGCUCAUGCACGAAAGCGUGGGGAGCAAACAGG